rnacentral:rRNA from 1 species
UACGGAGGGGGCAAGCGUUAUUCGGAAUUAUUGGGCGUAAAGGGCGCGUAGGCGGCCUGGUCAGUCGAAGGUGAAAUCCCCGAGCUCAACUUGGGAACUGCCUUCGAUACUGCCGGGCUUGAGUCCGGGAGGGGAGAGUGGAAUUCCCAGUGUAGCGGUGAAAUGCGUAGAUAUUGGGAGGAACACCAGUGGCGAAGGCGGCUCUCUGGACCGGUUCUGACGCUGAGGCGCGAAAGCGUGGGUAGCAAACAGG